CCUCAGAGACACAAUCAAGGAUGGAACUCGUCUCUUCCUCCUUGAUGAAGGAAUUCGUAGACAGCUUCUUCUUGCUCUUACUGAAGACUCAAAACUUCAUAUACAAGAGCUUGUAGAUGUGUACAGACUGCUCGAGGACCAGAUUGAUGUACCUUCAGUAGCUCUGCAAGUUGCACAAGAUCUUCCUUCUGUUGCUCGGGAUGUAAUACUUUCGUGGAGCGCGU